ACUCCUACGGGAGGCAGCAGUGGGGAAUAUUGCACAAUGGGCGCAAGCCUGAUGCAGCCAUGCCGCGUGUAUGAAGAAGGCCUUCGGGUUGUAAAGUACUUUCAGCAGUGAGGAAGGUAGUGUAGUUAAUAGCUGCAUUAUUUGACGUUAGCUGCAGAAGAAGCACCGGCUAACUUCGUGCCAGCAGCCGCGGUAAUACGAAGGGGGCUAGCGUUGUUCGGAAUCACUGGGCGUAAAGCGCACGUAGGCGGAUUGAUAAGUUAGGGGUGAAAAUCCCCGGGGGCUCAAACCUCGGAACUGCCUUUUGAUACUGUCAGUCUUGAGUCCGAGANAGGUGAGUGGAACUCCGAGUGUAGAGGUGAAAAUUCGUAGAUAUUCGGAAGAACACCAGUGGCGAAGGCGGCUCACUGGCUCGGUACUGACGCUGAGGUGCGAAAAGCGUGGGGAGCAAACAGGAUUAGAUACCCUGGUAGCUACGAGU
rnacentral:rRNA from 1 species